UUGUUCAUUUGAAGGAAAGAUUGGUGGCAUCUCCCUUGACACGGAUGGGAACCGCCCCUGGCUUGCAGCCACAUUCAUGCUGUUAAGGCUACCCGCUUGCCCAAUUUUUU